ACUCCUACGGGAGGCAGCAGUGGGGAAUAUUGCACAAUGGGGGAAACCCGUGAUGCAGCCAUGCCGCGUGUGUGAAGAAGGCCUUCGGGUUGUAAAGCACUUUCAGUAGGGAGGAAGGUAGUGUAGUUAACACCUGCAUUAUUUGUACGUUACCUACAGAAGAAGCACCGGCUAACUCCGUGCCAGCAGCCGCGGUAAUACGGAGGGUGCGAGCGUUAAUCGGAAUUACUGGGCGUAAAGCGCAUGCAGGCGGCCUGUUAAGUCAGAUGUGAAAGCCCGGGGCUUAACCUCGGAAUUGCAUUUGAAACUGGCAGGCUAGAGUCUUGUAGAGGGGUUAGGAAUUUCAGGUGUAGCGGUGAAAUGCGUAGAGAUCUGAAGG
rnacentral:rRNA from 1 species